AGUGUGUCCGUGGCCUCAGACUCACAGCCUCCUCUGGAAGGGAAGAGAGAAGAGGAGGAAUCACUGACCGGCCUCUGGUCCAGAAGAAAGGAUGAUUUUUAUAAACACUUUAUCGACGUGGGAACUUGAUGCUCGUCUCUAACAUCAGUAAAUGAUUCCUGCUGCAGAGACAAAAGCUGCUCAAAUUAGAAGAGACGCUGGAGAACUCUGGAUUAAAAACUGGGGCAUUUGCUGCAUGAAUAUUUGACUUUUAUCUUUUGUAUUAUCAUCAUCAGUGAGAACCGUUGGUGGGAGUCAUUAUCGGCUGCUGGUUUCAUUGAGAAAUACGACAAAAGCUAAUCUCUGUUUGCUGAAGUGCAGAUUCUGUUUAAUUGAGCACCAUUCGGCACAACUUCACCGACAGUAUGAGGGCCCCUAUUUUACAAACCUAACAUUAAAAAAUGAAAUACACAAAUGUCCUUGAUGAUUACCUCUGAAAUCAUUCAGUAAAGUCGUUUUCUCUGUUGUCCAGUUCAUAGAUAUUUGAAAUACCAAUCAUUUCAUGUGAAGCUUGACUACGAGUGUCUGAGGCUCUACGUGAAUUCACAGUCUGUAACCACCGUUCAACAUGUUUGAGGAUGUCAGGCCACAAAGUCCGAGAAGGUUGUGAUGACAGACUGAACACGGGUAUGAGCGUGUGUAUGAAUGUCUAAAAGUGACAUACAUG